CAACUUUCAACAACGGAUCUCUUGGCUCUUACAUCGAUGAAGAACGCAGCGAAAUGCGAUAAGUAAUGUGAAUUGCAGAAUUCCGUGAAUCAUCAAAUCUUUGAACGCAAAUUGCACUCUUUGGUAUUCCGAAGAGUAUGCUUGCUUGAGGGUUGGA
rnacentral:rRNA from 1 species